rnacentral:rRNA from 1 species
ACAGAACGAACGCUGGCGGCGCGCCUAAUACAUGCAAGUCGAACGAGAAUGUGUAGCAAUACACAUGUACAGUGGCGAACGGGUGAGGAAUACAUGGGUAACCUACCCUCGAGUGGGGAAUAACUAGCCGAAAGGUUAGCUAAUACCGCGUACGCUUCCCGGACUGCGGUUCGGGAAGGAAAGCGAUACCGUGGGUAUCGCGCUCUUGGAUGGGCUCAUGCCCUAUCAGCUUGUUGGUGAGGUAACGGCUCACCAAGGCUUCGACGGGUAGCUGAUCUGAGAGGAUGAUCAGCCACACUGGCACUGCGACACGGGCCAGACUCCUACGGGAGGCAGCAGUAAGGAAUAUUGCGCAAUGGGCGAAAGCCUGACGCAGCGACGCCGCGUGGGGGAUGAAGGUCUUCGGAUUGUAAACCCCUUUCGGGAGGGAAGAUGGGAUGGGGUAACCCAUUCGGACGGUACCUCCAGAAGCAGCCACGGCUAACUUCGUGCCAGCAGCCGCGGUAA